rnacentral:rRNA from 1 species
UGGGGAAUUUUGGACAAUGGGGGCAACCCUGAUCCAGCCAUUCCGCGUGAGUGAAGAAGGCCUUCGGGUUGUAAAGCUCUUUUGUCCGGAACGAAACGGUUAGCGUGAAUAUCGCUGACUACUGACGGUACCGGAAGAAUAAGCACCGGCUAACUCUGUGCCAGCAGCCGCGGUAAUACGGAGGGGGUUAGCGUUGUUCGGAAUUACUGGGCGUAAAGCGCGCGUAGGCGGAUUAGAAAGUUAGGGGUGAAAUCCCAGGGCUCAACCCUGGAACUGCCUCUAAAACUCCUAGUCUUGAGGUCGAGAGAGGUGAGUGGAAUUCCGAGUGUAGAGGUGAAAUUCGUAGAUAUUCGGAGGAACACCUGUGGCGAAGGCGGCUCACUGGCUCGAUACUGACGCUGAGGUGCGAAAGCGUGGGGAGCAAACAGGAUUAGAUACCC